AUGGAUCCCUCGCCCGAUCCGCUCGCCGCCUCCGCCCCAUUCCCCACCAUCCCCGCCGCCACCCACAGGCCGCGGGUCGCCCGCCCGCGGCGCCAGGCCGCCCCCUUUCGUUCCGACCACUCCGGAGCCUCCUGCUCCCCCAGCCGGCGCCUCGGCGGCGAUCCCUCGAGCUUCGCUGCGGGCGCUGGCUCGCGACCGAGCACCGCAGGCGGAUCACGCCCCUCGGCCUUCGUCUUCGGCGCGGACGCCUCGACGUCUAACCGCGCCGUCGCGGAGGAUCCGGCGUCGGCGGGCUCAUGGGGUUCUUCCCGUGGCGCUAAUUUUGUUUUUGGGAGUGGCGUCUCGGCGAGAUCGGAGAUGAAGAGAAGCUCCUCGGUUGGAUCCAGUGCUGCCUCGUUGUGCAGCCUCUCUGCAGCAGCCGAUGAGCUCGUACAAGAUUCUUCCGGCAAGCAAAGAGAUGACCGUGCUCACGUUUCUAGAGGAAAUGAUUCCGUCCUGGAGAUAAAUUCUCGGGGUACUUUUGGUGCCUCGGAAAGCAAUUUGAAGUCACAUGAGGUUUUUCGUCCGAGCAUUCUUCAUGGUGUUGCCAAGCAGCGCGAUGAAGGGCGUGGCAUGCUCUCUCAGACGGUAGGGUGCAAGAGUACGGAAACAAAUUCAUCAUUAGUUGGUCAAGCGGUCAAUGCAACAAAAUGUACUGACAGGAAUGAUUCCAUGGAAGUCCCCAUGGACUGUGGUAACUCAUCCGUAGGAGAUUCUGUAGAUAAAGUUUACUUCACAAAGGAUGGAAGCAAACUUUCUGCAACUGGUGUUAAUGUCAAACAUGAUUUGUUUGUUUUCGGGGGACGUGCUAGUGCUCAACAUAGUCUGUUCACUGCAAAUACAGAGCAAAGUAAUUUCAAGAAGUUGGAUUCAUCUGAUAAAGAGGAGGUAACAUGCAGUUCUGAACAACUUGGUCUUUCAGCUACUGAGGAUGGCAGAUGUAUCAAGUCACAGCUUGCACCUGGUUCACGUAAUGGGGGUGCUCCACAUUCCAGACCUUGUCAAGUCCAUGAAACAGAAAAAGCCUCGAAUACUGCACCUUUUAGCAUUGGAGCUCAAGAUGACAUUGUGAAGGUUUCUUUCACAAAGUUGCCUGAUGGUAUGCAAACACAAGUAGGUGCAGCAUCUGGACUUGGUGAAUGUCGAUCUUUCGAUGGGAGAUCAGUUUCUCUACAGGAACACAAUUUAGCAUCUGGAGACAAGGGAGUGAUUAAGGCUAUGAGCAUGAAUAGAAGGGCAGUUAAACCAAAGAAGUUUUCCUCAACCCGUCAGGUUUCUUCAUUGCGGAAUGCCCUUGCACCUGACAGUUUUUCUGGAAAAGUGACUCCGGAGACAAACUUUAGUAUGGAACAAUCUGGAAAAGUUGGCCUCAGGUUAGAGGGUUCUGAUAACAGUGGCCCAGAGGUAGCUGAUGCUACGCAAACAGCAGAAAGUAGCCAUGAUGGAGCUGGGCUUACUUUUGCAGCAAACUUGGAAAGUUGUGGUAACUCUGACUUAAUAUUUGCUUCAUCUACUUUCGAUCGAAUUAAGUUGGGUUCACAAAGACAACAGAAUAGAAGUUCUGAAGGAAUGACGACUCAUACUAACUUUGUUCAAAGCCUUCCUACAUCUGCCAUUAGUCUUGCACACACAAAAGUUUCAGCAAGCCAGCCAGGCACAGUUUUAGCGCCUCAAUGGACUGAAUACAGCAAAGCAGAACCUACAGUAGUAACAUGUACAAAAACAGGAAACUUUAGAUAUCAGGAGGACUGUGAAACUUGGCGUAUAAGGGGGAACCAAGCUUAUGCUGCAGGACAGUUAGCUAAGGCGGAGGAAUGCUAUACCCAUGGGAUUAAUUCUGUUUCUCAAAAUCAAGCUUCUCAGAAAGCAUUAAUGCUGUGCUACAGCAAUCGUGCAGCUACCCGGAUAUCUCUUGGUAGGAUGAGAGAUGCCCUCUCUGAUUGUCGGAAAGCUACUGAAAUUGAUUCCAGCUUUCUCAAGGCACAAGUCAGAGCUGCCAAUUGUCUACUUGCUCUGGGGGAUGUCGAAGAAGCACAAAAGGGUUUUGAAAUCUGUUUGAAGUCUAAUCAUGCGGCAAGCUUGGAUCGUAAAGUCAUAGAAGAGGCUUCUGAUGGUCUACAAAAAGCUCAGAAAGUAUCUACUUUCAUGCUUCAAUCCAAGGAAUAUCUUGUUAAAAAGGAAUUUGACAAGAUACCAAGUACCUUACAAAUGAUCACAGAUGCUUUGUCCAUAAGCAUUCAUUCAGAUAACUUGAUGAAAAUGAAAGCAGAAGCCCUGUUACUGUUGCGGCGAUAUGAAGAAUUAAUUCAGUUUUGUGAAGAAACUCUGCAACUGGCAGAAAGAAAUAGUGUGCCUCUGUGUCUUGAUGAGCAUCUAGAAAACAUUAACUUGGACAGCUACGGGUUUUCUGUGAAAUCUUGGCGCUAUUAUCUUAUCGCCAAGUCAUAUUUCUUCAUAGGAAAGCUUGAAGAGGCUCAUCAGUUCUUGAAAAAGUACGAGCAAACAACACCUGCGGAAUACAAGUGCGGGAAGCAGUCUCAACAAUCAGUUUCGUUACUUUCGAAGACAAUCUCUGAACUACUGCGUCUUAAAGUUGCUGGGAAUGAAGCUUUUCAAGCUGGUAAAUAUUCAGAGGCUGUGGAACAUUAUACUGCUGCUUUGUUGAGCAACGCGGAGUCAUUACAUUUUUCAGCAAUCUGUUUUGGCAACCGUGCGGCUGCAUACCAAGCAAUGGGCCAAAUUUUAGAUGCCAUAGCAGAUUGUUCGCUAGCUAUAGCCCUUGACACUAGCUAUUGUAAGGUUAUUUCUAGAAGGGCUAGUUUGUAUGAACUUAUAAGGGACUACGAUCAGGCAGAAAAUGAUCUUCGAAGACUAAUUUCUCUUCUUGAGGAACAACUACAAGACAAUAUGUCCAUGCCAUCAGAAAAAUUAGAUAAUGUUCGUAACAAUCUACACCGAGCCAAUCUUAGGCUUUCUGCUUUGGAGCGUGAUGCCAGAAAAAGGACAUCACUGAAUAUGUAUCUGAUAUUAGGAAUUGAGCCAUCCUGCUCUGCUGUGGAUAUAAAAAGAGCAUACCGCAAAGCAGCAUUAAGGCAUCAUCCAGACAAAGCAGGUAAUUUUCUCGUGAGAAGUGAAAAUAUCGAUGAUACAGUAUGGAGCGAAAUUGUGAAUGCGAUCCGCAGAGACGCUGAUUAUUUGUUCAAAAUAAUUGGGAAAGCAUAUGCUAUACUUUCGGACCCAACCAUGAAGAAUAAAUGA
rnacentral:rRNA from 1 species